GAGGCGGAACCUGAAAAGCCUUAUGAGUAAGGA
rnacentral:ncRNA from 1 species